rnacentral:rRNA from 1 species
UUCGGUGGCAAUAGCGAGAAGGUCACACCCGUUCCCAUUCCGAACACGGAAGUUAAGCUUCUCAGCGCCGAUGGUACUGCAUGGGUGACUGUGUGGGAGAGUAGGUCGCCGCCGAAU